rnacentral:rRNA from 1 species
UAGAGCGGCGGACUGGUGAGUAACACGUGGGUAACCUACCCUCCAGAAUGGGGAUAGCCGCUAGAAAUAGCGGAUAAUACCGAAUAAGCCCGUGCGGCGAUGGCUGUGCGUGGAAAGGAGCGUCUGCUCCGCCUGAGGAUGGGCCCGCGUCCCAUUAGCUAGUUGGUGAGGUAAGAGCCCACCAAGGCUGCGAUGGGUAGCCGGCCUGAGAGGGUGAACGGCCACAUUGGGACUGAGAUACGGCCCAAACUCCUACGGGAGGCAGCAGCUAAGAAUAUUCCGCAAUGGACGAAAGUCUGACGGAGCGACGCCGCGUGGAUGACGAAGGCCGAAAGGUUGUAAAAUCCUUUUGCCGCCGAAGAAUAAUCCGGUAGGAAAUGACCGUGAGAUGACGAUAGGCGGCGAAUAAGCCCCGGCUAAUUACGUGCCAGCAGCCGCGGUAACACGUAAGGGGCGAGCGUUGUUCGGAAUUAUUGGGCGUAAAGGGCGCGUAGGCGGUCAAAUAAGUCCGGCGUGAAAGGCCGGGGCUCAACCCCGGGACUGCGCUGGAAACUAUCUGACUUGAGUCAUGGAGGGGGAGUUGGAAUUCCUAGUGUAGGGGUGAAAUCUAUAGAUAUUAGGAAGAACACCGGUGGCGAAGGCGAACUUCCAGCCAAUGACUGACGCUGAGGCGCGAAAGCG